UGGACCUGGCGUUAAGGGUUUCUGGUGGGCGAAAGACAAGAAGACAUGGAAGAAUUUGUGAAAAAUAUAAUUUAAUGUAAUGCCUUCAACUCCAUGUCGAAUUGGUAAACUCCCUGGCGAGAAGAUUGUUAUUCAAAGUUUCCCUCUUGAGGGAUAACCGGAAAGGGAGGGAUGGUGUCAUGAAAAACCAACAUCAAAC